CUCCACUGGAAGCAACUGACAACUUCUCUUCAAGUGGGGAAGUCGUACAUUCUUUAACUAAGAAAUUUAUAUGAUAUUAAUUUUUAAUAUAUUAAUGGAAGACGCAAAAAUAGUAACGGAUCAACAAGUUGACCAGUACAAUAUUUCAUUCCUUUAUAGGUUAGCUUUACUUCACACCCUAACCUUAUUUUCUCUCUCCUUUUCACAUGGACACAAAAGAAGCUAUUGAGCCACAGUUUCCAUCUUGCAAAUACUCAGGUUUAUGUUGUUGUCAAUUGAGUACGAUUUUGAUGGGAGAUGGAUAGAAUGGACAGCUUAUAGUAAAGAUAUUCGAUUCCUUGCACUGCAAAUUAUAGUUGGUGGUCCUUUCUGUUCAGUUGUCAAUCAUGCUGUUCACUGCCCCAAUGUUCAUUACAACUUUAAUUGCUGUUCCAGGUGAUCAUCAGAUUCCCUUAUUCCAACAGUAUAUUCAAAUCUCAAGACUUAUAUUAGGCAUCCAUGAACUUUUGAUGUAUUGUACUAUUAAACAAGCAAAUAAUGAAUAAGAUAUAUGAGUUCAUGGUGAGCGUUGGAAAUACACAGGUAUUUCCAAUUUUUAAAACUCUUUCAAUAUAUUUGUACCAUCGUACUUAUACUCAUGUAUUACAAAGUAAACCAAAUUUUGAGUCGAGGCAUAAUUUGUUUUCCUUCA